GGUUGAUAUUCCUGUACCACCUCGUAUUCGUUUGAACGAUGGGGGGACGCAGAAAGGUAGGGUGAGCGCGCCGCUGGCUGUGCGCGUCGAAGCAUGCGAGGCUGGAACAUAGGCAAAUCCGUGUUCCAUAAGGCUGAGCUGUGACCGUGAAGGACCUUCGGGUCCGAAAUCCCUGAUCCUCCGCUGCCGAGAAAAGCCUCUAGUGAGAAUACAGGUGCCCGUACCGCAAACCGACACAGGUAGGCGAGAAGAGAA
rnacentral:rRNA from 2 species